rnacentral:rRNA from 1 species
GAUGCUAAUACCGGAUAACAACACUAGACGCAUGUCUAGAGUUUAAAAGAUGGUUCUGCUAUCACUCUUGGAUGGACCUGCGGUGCAUUAGCUAGUUGGUAAGGUAACGGCUUACCAAGGCAAUGAUGCAUAGCCGAGUUGAGAGACUGAUCGGCCACAUUGGGACUGAGACACGGCCCAAACUCCUACGGGAGGCAGCAGC